rnacentral:rRNA from 1 species
UCGGCUAUACUUCAAACCUUUAGUCUACCUUGCAUUUUUUGCGUAUUCAGUUUCCUUGGUACGGCUUGCCUGACAAUUGGACAAAAUUAUAACCCUUUUAAUAUUUAAUCAGCGUCUGGAUAAUUUUAAUAAUUACAACUUUCAACAACGGAUCUCUUGGUUCUGGCAUCGAUGAAGAACGCAGCGAAAUGCGAUAAGUAGUGUGAAUUGCAGAAUUCAGUGAAUCAUCGAAUCUUAGAACGCACAUUGCACCCCUUGGUAUUCCAUGGGGCAUGCCACGUUCGAGCGUCAUUUGUAAUCUCAAGCUAUGCUUGGUGUUGGGCACUUGUCUCAGUCAAGCCUGCAGAAUUGCCUUAAAUACAUUGGCAGCCAGUAUUUUGGUUUGAAAUGUGCAGCACAGCGCCUCAGCUAUUUAAUACAGGCAACCAUGAAGAUUUAUCACUCUUUUGACCUCGGAUCAGGUAGGGAUACCCGCUGAACUUAAGCAUAUCAAUAAGCGG